UACGGGGGGGGCAAGCGUUGUCCGGAAUCAUUGGGCGUAAAGAGCGUGUAGGCGGCCAGAUAAGUCCGCUGUGAAAUCUCGAGGCUCAACUUCGAGCUGUCGGUGGAAACUGUCUGGCUAGAGUCCGGAAGAGGAGAAUGGAAUUCCUGGUGUAGCGGUGAAAUGCGCAGAUAUCAGGAAGAACACCCGUGGCGAAGGCGGUUCUCUGGGACGGUACUGACGCUGAGACGCGAAAGCGUGGGGAGCGAACAGG
rnacentral:rRNA from 1 species